rnacentral:lncRNA from 1 species
GUCUGCAAAUGAUCAUCGGUUCUUGCGUUGCGUCUUUGAGUGACCAUCGGUUUGCUUUUGUGACUGAAACCUGAUCUGUGAAACCCGAUUGUGUGAGAAAUCGAUUUGUGAAAACUGAAGAGUGAAGACUUAAAAAGAAGAAAGCGAGGCUGUGAAGAUUUAAGGGUGAAAACUGGAGAAGAACCAAAGAAGAGAGUGAAGCGUGAGGCUGCAAAAUCUGAAAUGUGAGUAAAAGGCUGUCUAUU